rnacentral:rRNA from 1 species
UGCUUCUAAUCGUCCUUCAAUGGACAAUUUUUGACCUCUUGACCU